rnacentral:rRNA from 1 species
AUGAUCCUUCGGCGUCAAGAUGGAAGUGUAAUCUUUACAGCAUGCAGGUGUAUAUUCAAUUACAACGACGCAUUGAAAGCGGAACUGCAUGCGAUCACGCAAGGCAUGGCACUAGCCGUGCAGCAUUCUUGCAUGCCAAUUGUUGUACAGUCAGACUCAGCAUCGGCGUUGGCAGCAUUGAUCGGGGAGAGCUUAACCCGGUCAGCUUAUGGACACUUGGUGACGGAGAUCAAGCAUCAUAUGGAGACUCGGUAGUUUGUUCCAUCAAAAAUCAAGCGUGAGCAAAAUAGGGUAGCACAUCAGUUGGCAUUGUAUAGUCGUACGAAGUUCAUUACUGCUGUAUGGCUAGGGAGAAGCCCUCCUUGUAUCAAGGAUUUGGUGCCUCUUGAUUGUAACCAUAUGCAUAUGGAAUAA